rnacentral:rRNA from 1 species
UACAGGGGGCUCGAGCGUUAGUCGGAAUCACUGGGCUUAAAGGGUGCGUAGGCGGUCCGCCAAGUGCUUUGUGAAAUCCCACGGCUCAACUGUGGAACAGCAGGGCAAACUGGAGGACUUGAGGCAGGUAGGGGCUGGAAGAACAGUUGGUGGAGCGGUGAAAUGCGUAGAUAUCAACUGGAAUGCCGAUGGGGAAGCCGUCCAGCUGGGCCUGUCCUGACGCUGAGGCACGAAAGCGUGGGGAGCAAACAGG